UACGUAGGGGGCAAGCGUUGUCCGGAUUUAUUGGGCGUAAAGAGCGUGUAGGCGGCCAGGUAGGUCUGCUGUGAAAACUCGAGGCUCAACCUCGAGACGUCGGUGGAAACCGUUUGGCUAGAGUCCGGAAGAGGAGAGUGGAAUUCCCGGUGUAGCGGUGAAAUGCGCAGAUAUCAGGAGGAACACCGGUGGCGAAGGCGGGGUCUCUGGGCCGGAACUGACGCUAAGGAGCGAAAGCGUGGGGAGCGAACAGG
rnacentral:rRNA from 1 species